rnacentral:lncRNA from 1 species
CGAGAGCGGGCGCCCCCCAGCCGUGCCAGGGCCGGCGCUGCAUGGCGCUGCUCAGCCUGCCUUGCAGAGGGAGCUCGAGUCCCGCUCUGCGCCUCGCAGCGCCUCUCCCUCCGCAGCGCACACGGCAGCGGCGCAGCGAGGUGGCGGCAGGCAGGGCUGCGGGCCGGGCCGGGCCACGAGAACCGCCGCACCGCUCCGCCGAGCUCCGAACCCCCCGAGGAGGUGGAGGAGGGAGAAAGGAGAGAGCCCCGAGGAGAUGAUGUUAAAGCCACACAGAUGAGGUUAUUCCUAGGAGUUCCAGGAGCAGAGUCAUUUCGUCCCGACGUGCAGCACCCUGCCUGCCCUGACAGAAGGUUGCUUUCCUGCUCCAAUCUCUGCAGCCAAGGUACAGCUUAUCCUGGAAGAUGGUAUUCUACUGCAGGGAUGGGGCCAGGCUUUGGCAGAGCAAGGAGAACACCCGCAUAGGCUGCUGGAGCGCUGAGCUGUUCGUACUUCCAGGGCUUAGCUGGGGGAAAAAGAAACAACACCAAACAGAAGUCUGGGCCACUUAUUACCUGCAGGGUGUUUCUGUCCACAGCUGUUACCCAACAGCUGCGUGUGCCAGCCAAGACCCGUAUUCUCACUCCUGCUGCCUGCAGCUGGGAGCAUGAUACAGAGCUAUGGGAGAAAUACUGUGCUUUUGGCCUGCGGCUUGUGCAACCCCCAAGCAGGUGGAAUAAUGCUAAGCUAGCACUGAUGGGGCAGAGCAUCUCCUGCUUGUACCUUUCCUGCAGUUCUGUCUGCAGAUAAAGCCAUAUCCAAAAGUGGUUGCUCUGAAGGCAGCACCCUGACAGGUGUCAGGCUUGCUGAGGUGUUGCUGCGUCUGCUUGGUGCUACUGUGUCCCAGGUACCCAGCACAGACCUGGGAGGCAGAGAGCUGACCAGAACUGCCCUGAGCCACCUCCUGGCCUUGCAGGCUUAUGGUACCAAAGCACACCCCAGCAUGAGAGAUGCCUGGGUGCUCCUGCUGCUGACGUGGUGCUUCCCAGCUAGUUACAGGAAGCAGAUGUCCCAUUUGGGGCACCCUGUGCACCAUGGCAUGCUUUCAUCCCUUUUGCAGGCUCUUACGAUGCACCUCCACUAGCAGCCCCCUACCAAAACAGAACAACCCAAGAGCCUGAGCUCCCUGGGACAUCUGGGUCCCCUGCAAGUGCACAGUGGGCAGGCAGAGCCAGCAGGAUAAGAACAUGAAGUCUGAGGCAGCCUGACAAAGGACUGUUAGUAAGGACAGCGGUCCCGGAGGCUGCGAGCUGCUGGGCUUUGCUAAGAAACCCAUCGAGAUGGUGCUGGCCCCAGGGGUCCUUGCUUCUGCUGGCUGUUGGGGCAUUUUGCUGCUUUAACCUACUCCUCUCUCAGAACUGUGAGGGCUGCUAAGAUGAUUAAGAGCUUGGAGCACCUGCCAUAUAAAAAAAAAGAGCCUGGGAGAAUGGAGGCUUGGAGCGGUUCUUAUCCAUGUCUCUCAACACUUGGUGGUGGGUAAAGAAGAGAGACCAGUUCUCCUUAGUGAUGCCCAGUGACAGAAUGAGAGCCAUACUGAUAGCAAAAUACAGGAGUUCCAUUUAAACUAAAGAAAUGUUUUUUCUGUGAGGCUGGCUGAAUACUGGAACAGGUGGCACAGAAGUGUUCUGUCAUCUCCAUCUUUGGAAACGGUCCUGGGCAGCCUGCUUGAACUAACUCACGUUGAGCAGGGGGGGGGAAUGGAAGGCCAUGUUCAGAGGUCCCUUCCCAACUCAAUUCCACAAUUCCUUGAUGCGUUGUGGCUUGGUAUCGCUGUGAUGAGACAUACAUGGUCCUACCAUUCUGACUUCCAGCCAUUGCCUCCCUUCUCUGGGGCAGGUCAGGGCUUCCCUGUGCUGAGCACAGCUCAGCUGUGACCCUGCUCUGCGCAAUGCAUUGUGGCGCCUUAGCGAGGCUUCCCAUGCCCUGCAGCCCAGGUUUGGCAGCAUCAUGGUAACUCUCACACAGCUCAGGGACAGUGAAAACUCCUUCUGCUGCUAAAAGAGAUAGCUGCUGUACUGCUGGUAAAAGCAGAAGGUUGAUCCUCACCUGAGAAACACCCACCCAGCUUUCAGUCCAGGGAGACACCCCCAGGCCAGAGCUCCCUGCCCCUUGGCACAGGGGCUGAACACCCACGCAGCAACACCGACGCUCAUUAAAGGUUUACUUUUAUUUCUGGUUUAAAAUCAAAAUUAGUCAUUCUCUGUAAUUACAUUAUAUAUAGAUUUAUAGAGACAUUAUAGAAAAGAAUUUGUCGCUUUUUUUCUGCAAAAAAAAAAAAAAAAGAAAUCUGUAAAUAAAAAAUAAAAUAAACAACAAGGAAAGGAAAAGGUGGCAGUGUCCGUCUGUCCGUCCCUCUGUCGCUCCUCCUGCCCCUGCCCUCCACAGCACUCCCCCGCAGAGGGGAAGGGCUCUGGGCUGGGGCUGUGCCUCACUGCGCCCCACCGCCGGGGAGGGACAGGAGCAUGCGGAGCUGGAAAGAAGAAAUGCCAGCAGAAUAUAUUAAUAUAUCUCAUAUCUCAUUUUAUUUAAGUCCUGCGGACUUCCAGGUGGCAAAAGGGCAGCGGUUCCCUCCCAGCCCAGGCGACUUCUGGAAAGAAACAGCAUCGCUUCCAAAGUGUGGGUCCUUCCAGGAAAGGGCACGCGGCCCGAGCAGCAGGAAGGCAAGAGGCGGAGGAAUCCGCACACCCUUGAACAGAUCCCAUCUCCAAAAGCCGGCAGAGCUCCCAGUCCAGGAGCUGGGGCAAGUGGGCGAGGCCCAGGGCUGUGCCAGGUGCAGCAUGCCAACCAGCUGUGCACUUCUGCAUGCACCUACAUGGGGACCCCAAGAGCUUCCCAGCACCCCCGCGUACACACAGGGAUGCACACUCCAUGCUGAGAGAUCUCUGCCCAGCAGCCCUGCACACAGAUCUGCACGCAGCAGCCAUCCCCAGCAGAGCUGGUGACGUGGGACACAGGACACGUGGCACCUAUGUGCGCAGGCAUUGCCGCGGGGCUACGAACAACCAAGACACACAGACUCCAAAAAGUGACGUGGCUGACAGGCUCUAAGACAGAGACAUUUGUGAGCAAAGCAGGAGUGGGGCUGAGGGACGAGGACAGCUCACAUGUCCCAACCUGUGCAGCAGCUGCCGCGGUCUGGAGGCCUAGAAACCCAACUCAGAUGGUUCUCUCAGUGCCAUCUAGCAAAUAAUAAAUAACACCCACGCUUAGGGCUGUGCCCGCAGGAAUCCUCGCUGCCCACCACCGCUCUCACCCCACACAGCUGGGGCACCGUAAGCCGGAGCAUGGGGCAGGCAGGGAUCAGCCCAGGCCCCUAUCUCCCUUGGGCAGUGUGCCAUGGGGUGAUGCAGGACACUCACCACACAGCAUCAGGCUCUGCUUGGCUGCCUCCCGCACAGGCUCCUUGUCGGUUUGGCACAGGUAAACCAGCUGCUCGAUGCUCUCCUUGGCCUUGAGGCAGCCCAGCGCCACGCAGCCGGCCACGCGUGUCUGCACCUCCUCAUCCUCCAGCUGUCCCAGGAAGCACACGAGGGCCUGGGGCAGAGCGAGGGCUCAGUGCCACCACUUCAAGUAGCGACCCAGAGCCCACCUCCCCCCCUCCUGCCCACAGCGUACCCGUUGGCGGAAGCGGGGGUUUUCCGCCAGGCUGCGGAGCUGUGCCGACACGGCGCUCACCACCUUGCUGUUUCCUUCCACGAGCAGCAAGCUGAGCGCCUUCAGCCCUUCCUUCUUCAGGCGGCCCUCGGGCACACGCUUCAGUGCCCGCAGCACCACAUCCUGGUCGUCUGAGUUGAGGUUCUGCGCCAGCAGCACUGUGGGGACAGCCCGGUGAGCUGAGCAUCUGUGGGGAGCUCAGCCUCCAGCCACAGCAGUCAGAGGGAUCCCACAAUAGGAUGCUGGGGGCGCUGCCCCGCUGCUGGGGUACCUGAGCUGGAGACCUGCAGAAAGCAAGGUCCAAAGGGUGCCCCAGGAUGGGAGUGUAGGAAGGGGCUGAGCACAAGCAAUGGGGCAGGGUGGGCGAGCCUUUGGGUGGGCGAGCCUUUGGGUGAUACCCCACAGUGCUGUACACCCUACAGCCUCCAGCUCAGGGCACGGCAGAAGGGCACCCACCUUCCUCUGCCAGCUCCAUCACGUAGGUGUCGAGCACCAGGGCACCGAGGGCCUCGAAGUGGCUCCAGUACUGGAAGAUGGUGACCUGCUCACCCUGGGUGCCACCGGGUCGCCGUGGCAGCCGCCGGUUCAGCACAUCUUCCACCAGCUUCACACAUACUGUGGGAAAAUAACGGGGUCAGGGCAUGCAGCACCUCGUAGGGUCGGAGAUUCCCUUCUUGCACGUCCACACCUGCACACCCUCACCUGCAUCAGCCAGUCCUGGGUGCCGCUCACUGAUGGGUGCUGCGUACUGCGCACUGAGCACCUGCAGGAACCGCUCCACGGGGCAGGUGUAGAUGUUGGGCAGCUCCACGCAGUGGUCCCAAAGGGGCAGCACCCCUUCUUUCCGUGUUGAGAACUGCACCACUGCGGGGACAGGCGGUGUCAAGCUGCACAUCCAGCUGGCACAUCCCUCCCGUGCAGCCCCUUGCUGCCCUUACCUCCGGCAGCAGAGCCCGCUGCUUCCGACCGCUCCUCCAUCAGUUGGCACACGAUCUCCAGCACCUGCGCCUCCCGCAGCAGCCUGUCCAGGGCGAACAUCUCCCGGCACCUCAGAGGCCCAAAGGUGCCCAGGUUCUGUGAGGCACAGGUAUGCCAGUGACCUUAAGGACAGCACAGCACCCAGACCCCAGCACAGCCACAGCAAGGCAUCUCGGAGGGUCUUAGGGGGGCCAGAAACUGCGAGGAGCCAUGGCCAGCCCCAGGAUGUGUCCCACUAUUGCAUCCCACUCCCUGCAGGGAGCCUUGGCCAACCCCACCACGUGUCCCCGCAUCGUGUCCCAGUCCCCAGUCUCACCAGCAGCAGGUGGUUGCAGUUGUGGAGGUGAAGCACCAGGGCCUUAUCCAGGAACUCACUGCCGGUGCUCAUGGGGUCCGCGCUGCCCUCAGAGCCGCUGCACGUUCCAGUGUCAUCCGCUCCCACCUCACCAGCGCUGGCAGCCCUGCUUCCACGCCGUGCUCUGCUGGCCCUCCUGCAAACCAGCAAGAGCUGGAUCAGCACAGGGCACCCGAACCCAGCCCUUCCUUUCCCACCAGAGCUCAGCACCCCAAG